rnacentral:rRNA from 1 species
GGGAUUGCCCUAGUAACGGCGAGUGAAGCGGCAACAGCUCAAAUUUGAAAUCUGGCUUCGGCCCGAGUUGUAAUUUGCAGAGGAAGCUUUAGGCGCGGCACCUCCUGAGUCCCCUGGAACGGGGCGCCACAGAGGGUGAGAGCCCCGUAUAGUUGGAUGCCUAGCCUGUGUAAAGCUCCUUCGACGAGUCGAGUAGUUUGGGAAUGCUGCUCAAAAUGGGAGGUAAAUUUCUUCUAAAGCUAAAUACCGGCCAGAGACCGAUAGCGCACAAGUAGAGUGAUCGAAAGAUGAAAAGCACUUUGAAAAGAGGGUUAAAUAGCACGUGAAAUUGUUGAAAGGGAAGCGCUUGUGACCAGACUUGCGCCGGGCUGAUCAUCCGGUGUUCUCACCGGUGCACUCUGCCCGGCUCAGGCCAGCAUCGGUUCUCGCGGGGGGAUAAAGGCCCUGGGAACGUAGCUCCUCCGGGAGUGUUAUAGCCCGGGGCGCAAUGCCCUCGCGGGGACCGAGGUUCGCGCUCUGCAAGGAUGCUGGCGUAAUGGUCAUCAGCGACCC